CUUGCCUCAGGCAGCCACGGCCCCAGACUGUGUUGGCGUGUGACUCGGGUCAGCCUUAAAGCCGCCCCGCGAGGAAGGUGCCAGUAAUGACUCCCGACGGACAGUUCUGUGUGGGACCAAGGCGAGUGGGGGGAGGUGUCACCAUCAUGAAGUUCACCAUGCCAGGCACUGACACAUAGCAGGGAACAGGAAGACUAUUCUGGAUAGGAGAGAUGGGCAAUGAACAAAUGACAUCAAUAUGUAAUUGGUCGACCAGUUGUUUGCUUUCUGCCUCAGUGUCUAGCUGUCCCUCUUCACCCACUUCUGUCUCCAUGAAAAUGCUCCCUGGAGGGCUUUCCACGGAACACUCUCGGGGGUCUUACACAAAGGCAGAGACCCUAGAAGGGUUGCAGAGACCACUGAGGCCAGGGUUUCUCCAAUGCCCAAUGUAAUUUGUCAUCCGGGACACGCCAAUUAAAACUUCAACAAGAUACCACUAAAA